GGUUUCUGUCCUGGGACGUAAUCCCGUGGUUGGCAGUUCAUAAAAGGAACAUUCAUGUGAAUGAGUGCUCAUGAUCUUAUCCUCUGUGAAUUCACAGUGUACUGAUGAAAAAUUGCAGUGACAAACCCAUCACCUGGAACUGGGUUGCAUGACAUUUGGAAAACAGCUGUGCUGAAAGGAAAGCACAUGAGUUGAAAUCCUGGUCUAGAAAGCCACAUGAUCCUAUACAGUGCUUCCCCGGAUUGGGAUGUGAGCCCUUAAAUCCACUAAAAGUUUGGUACUCAGUCAUCUUUUGAGGAUCACCCUGUGAGUGACCUGUCUGAAGAUGGUGCUAUACAGCACUAGAAUCAGAAGCUGGGAGAGUCUGGCUCACCCUUGUCCAUCGACGACAACGGCUGUGGAAGGACUUCAGAGCAGAAAAUGCAGGGAAACUGGGUUCCGAUACUGAUCUGAACUGAAACAGACAGGAAAUACCAUAUUCGAAGCUUAGUGGGCACUGGCAAUUAUGGGUUUGUUUUUUUUUUUUUUUUUUUUAAGAACCUUAGUCUUUAAUAUGACCCACAUUAAGAAAAUACCCUAUUAAAU